AAUCCUCAAGCUUGAUCCUAAGCUUGGUAAUUGGGCUCUGCUGUUCGUUUGAUUGGAACAGCUGGCCUUAAAAUCAUUAGCUGAUCCUAAUGGUUGUGGUGUUGGUUUUACUCAGCGUGAUAAUGAAUCUGACCGCUGGGGGGAAAUAUCUUUCGGGAUGGCCAAUUCUCAAUCUUGGGUUGCUUCUAAUUUGGCUUUUACGCAUAGCAUAUUCUG
rnacentral:misc_RNA from 1 species